UGGGAGAUAUUGCACAAUGGGCGCAAGCCUGAUGCAGCCAUGCCGCGUGUAUGAAGAAGGCCUUCGGGUUGUAAAGUACUUUCAGCGGGAGGAAGGCAGUUGUGGUUAAUAACCACAGCGAUUGACGUUACCCGCAGAAGAAGACAACCGGCUAACCGUCCGUAGCCAGCCAGCCGCGGGUAAUACGGAGGGUGCAAGCGUUAAUCGGAAUUACUGGGCGUAAAGCGCACGCAGGCGGUCUGUCAAGUCGGAUGUGAAAUCCCGGGCUCAACCUGGGAACUGCAUUCGAAACUGGCAGGCUAGAGUCUUGUAGAGGG
rnacentral:rRNA from 1 species